GUUGUAUGGUUAAGUGACUAAGCGUACACGGUGGAUGCCUUGGCAGUCAGAGGCGAUGAAAGACGUAGUAACUUGCGAUAAGCCCAGAUUAGGUAGUAACAACCAUUUGAGUCUGGGAUUUCUGAAUGGGGAAACCCACGUGCAUAAGCACGUAUCCUUACCUGAAUACAUAGGGUAAGGAGGCGAACCGGGGGAACUGAAACAUCUAAGUACCCCGAGGAAAAGAAAUCAACCGAGAUUCCGAAAGUAGCGGCGAGCGAAAUUGGACUAGCCCUUAAGCUUUACACGCGUUAGACGAACGGUCUGGAAAGUCCGACGAUACAGGGUGAUAGUCCCGUAGUUGACGACGUGUGUUCAGUGAAAUCGAGUAGGGCGGGACACGUGAUAUCCUGUCUGAAUAUGGGGGGACCAUCCUCCAAGGCUAAAUACUACUGACUGACCGAUAGUGAACCAGUACCGUGAGGGAAAGGCGAAAAGAACCCCUGUGAGGGGAGUGAAAUAGAACCUGAAACCGUGUACGUACAAGCAGUAGGAGCAGGCUUCGUCCUGUGACUGCGUACCUUUUGUAUAAUGGGUCAGCGACUUAUAUUCAGUGGCAAGGUUAACCAUCUAGGGGAGCCGUAGGGAAACCGAGUCUUAACUGGGCGUUCAGUCUCUGGAUAUAGACCCGAAACCAGGUGAUCUAGCCAUGGGCAGGUUGAAGGUUGAGUAACAUCAACUGGAGGACCGAACCGACUAAUGUUGAAAAAUUAGCGGAUGACUUGUGGCUAGGGGUGAAAGGCCAAUCAAACCUGGAGAUAGCUGGUUCUCCCCGAAAGCUAUUUAGGUAGCGCCUCGGACGAAUACUACUGGGGGUAGAGCACUGUUAAGGCUAGGGGGUCAUCCCGACUUACCAACCCUUUGCAAACUCCGAAUACCAGUAAGUACUAUCCGGGAGACACACGGCGGGUGCUAACGUCCGUCGUGGAGAGGGAAACAACCCAGACCGCCAGCUAAGGUCCCAAAUUACUACUAAGUGGGAAACGAUGUGGGAAGGCUCAGACAGCCAGGAUGUUGGCUUAGAAGCAGCCAUCAUUUAAAGAAAGCGUAAUAGCUCACUGGUCGAGUCGGCCUGCGCGGAAGAUGUAACGGGGCUAAGUAGUAAACCGAAGCUGCGGCAAUGUGCUUUUGCACAUUGGGUAGGGGAGCGUUCUGUAAGCGGUUGAAGGUGUGUGGUAACGCAUGCUGGACGUAUCAGAAGUGCGAAUGCUGACAUGAGUAACGAUAAAGGGGGUGAAAAACCUCCUCGCCGGAAGACCAAGGGUUCCUGUCCAACGUUAAUCGGGGCAGGGUAAGUCGACCCCUAAGGCGAGGCCGAAAGGCGUAGUCGAUGGGAAACGGGUUAAUAUUCCCGUACUUCUUACAAUUGCGAUGGGGGGACGGAGAAGGCUAGGUGGGCCUGGCGACGGUUGUCCAGGUUCAAGUGCGUAGGCUUAAGAGUUAGGUAAAUCCGGCUCUUUCUAAGGCUGAGACACGACGUCGAGCACCUACGGGUGUGAAGUCAUUGAUGCCAUGCUUCCAGGAAAAGCCUCUAAGCUUCAGAUUGUAAGGAAUCGUACCCCAAACCGACACAGGUGGUCGGGUAGAGAAUACCAAGGCGCUUGAGAGAACUCGGGUGAAGGAACUAGGCAAAAUGGUACCGUAACUUCGGGAGAAGGUACGCUCU
rnacentral:rRNA from 1 species